CGUACAUCCGAUUAAUAUAUAAAAAAUAAAAAAGCUAAAAUUAUGACAAAUUUUAUAUUUAAUUACAUUUUAUUGGCAGGAUGCAUAUACACUCACAUUUAAUCAUUUUCUAUUGGCCGGGGAUACACAUCCAAGUGGCGGAGCUAAGCUUCUCUUUGGUAAGGUACCGGCUGCGCCGUGCCACUGGCUGCGCCGCUGUAGUACCACCGGCUGCGUCACUGCGGCACCUUCAUCCCUUCAAAACAUUUUCCGGUCGCCGGUACGGCACGUGCCCCUCCUUGCCGUUCCCUCCGCCACUGCAUCCAACAGUAAACAAUUUCCGCAUCAAAAGCUAGAUACGUCCAUCUCAGAAAAGUAGAAGCCAGAAGGACCAGUGUCAGGCAGCAAAGCCAACAUAACUGGAGCUCUUGCACCUUCUUCAGGAGUCAAGUUUCC
rnacentral:lncRNA from 1 species